CUACGGGGUGCUGCAGUGGGGAAUCUUAGACAAUGGGCGCAAGCCUGAUCUAGCCAUGCCGCGUGAGUGAUGAAGGCCUUAGGGUCGUAAAGCUCUUUCGCUGGGGAAGAUAAUGACGGUACCCAGUAAAGAAACCCCGGCUAACUCCGUGCCAGCAGCCGCGGUAAUACGGAGGGGGUUAGCGUUGUUCGGAAUUACUGGGCGUAAAGCGCGCGUAGGCGGACUGUUAAGUCGGGGGUGAAAUCCCGGGGCUCAACCCCGGAACGGCCUUCGAUACUGGCAGUCUGGAGUUCGAGAGAGGUGAGUGGAAUUCCGAGUGUAGAGGUGAAAUUCGUAGAUAUUCGGAGGAACACCAGUGGCGAAGGCGGCUCACUGGCUCGAUACUGACGCUGAGGUGCGAAAGUGUGGGGAGCAAACAGGAUUAGAUACCCCCGUAGUC
rnacentral:rRNA from 1 species